CUUCCCAGUGGGUUUUAACCUAAACGGAUGCGGUAAACGUGCUAAGGUAGCUAAAUUAUGGCCCAUUAAUUGUGGGUCUUGCGAACGGCUUGACGAGUUCCCUACUGUCUCAAAGUUGUUUUGGUGAACUUGAAUUGGAUGUGCAAAUGCUUCCAUGAGUAAGAAAGACGAGAAGACCCCGUGAAGUUAGAAAUUAGUGUCAGAAAAAUAUGGGUUUUGGCUGGGGCAGCAAGAAGGCAAAACUAGACCUUCUUUGAACGGGUGCGUUACGACCCAUAAGGAAUGAUUAUCAGAAGAAGUUACUCCGGGGAUAACAGCGUUAUCGUCCUGAUAGUUCUUAUAGAUGGGCGGGUUUGCGACCUCGAUGUUGGCUCUGGUUAUCCUGAGGCUUGAGGAGGUCUCGAGGGUUGGUUUGU
rnacentral:rRNA from 1 species